AGAGUUUGAUCUGGCUCAGGAUGAACGCUAGCGACAGGCUUAACACAUGCAAGUCGAGGGGUAACAGGGUGUAGCAAUACACCGCUGACGACCGGCGCACGGGUGAGUAACGCGUAUGCAACCUGCCUUUGACAGAGGGAUAGCCCAUGGAAACGUGGAUUAAUACCUCAUAGUCUCUUUUUCCUUCCUGGGGAAUAGAGUAAAACGAGAGUGGUCAAAGAUGGGCAUGCGUCCUAUUAGGCAGUUGGCGGGGUAACGGCCCACCAAACCGAUGAUAGGUAGGGGUUCUGAGAGGAAGGUCCCCCACACUGGUACUGAGACACGGACCAGACUCCUACGGGAGGCAGCAGUGAGGAAUAUUGGUCAAUGGUCGAGAGACUGAACCAGCCAAGUCGCGUGAGGGAUGACUGCCCUAUGGGUUGUAAACCUCUUUUCUACUGGGAGAAUAAGCCCUAUGUAUAGGGUGAUGACAGUACAGUAGGAAUAAGCAUCGGCUAACUCCGUGCCAGCAGCCGCGGUAAUACGGAGGAUGCGAGCGUUAUCCGGAUUUAUUGGGUUUAAAGGGUGCGUAGGCGGCCUUUUAAGUCAGCGGUGAAAGUCUGUGGCUCAACCAUAGAAUUGCCGUUGAAACUGGGGGGCUUGAGUAUGUUUGAGGCAGGCGGAAUGCGUGGUGUAGCGGUGAAAUGCAUAGAUAUCACGCAGAACCCCGAUUGCGAAGGCAGCCUGCCAAGCCAUUACUGACGCUGAUGCACGAAAGCGUGGGGAUCAAACAGGAUUAGAUACCCUGGUAGUCCACGCAGUAAACGAUGAUCACUAGCUGUCUGCGAUACACUGUAAGCGGCACAGCGAAAGCGUUAAGUGAUCCACCUGGGGAGUACGCCGGCAACGGUGAAACUCAAAGGAAUUGACGGGGGCCCGCACAAGCGGAGGAACAUGUGGUUUAAUUCGAUGAUACGCGAGGAACCUUACCCGGGUUUGAACGCAUUCGGACCGAGGUGGAAACACCUUUUCUAGCAAUAGCCGUUUGCGAGGUGCUGCAUGGUUGUCGUCAGCUCGUGCCGUGAGGUGUCGGCUUAAGUGCCAUAACGAGCGCAACCCUUGCCACUAGUUACUAACAGGUAAAGCUGAGGACUCUGGUGGGACUGCCAGCGUAAGCUGCGAGGAAGGCGGGGAUGACGUCAAAUCAGCACGGCCCUUACAUCCGGGGCGACACACGUGUUACAAUGGCGUGGACAAAGGGAGGCCACCUGGCGACAGGGAGCGAAUCCCCAAACCACGUCUCAGUUCGGAUCGGAGUCUGCAACCCGACUCCGUGAAGCUGGAUUCGCUAGUAAUCGCGCAUCAGCCAUGGCGCGGUGAAUACGUUCCCGGGCCUUGUACUCACCGCCCGUCA
rnacentral:rRNA from 1 species